rnacentral:lncRNA from 1 species
UGGAGUAUGAAGACAUGGUCUCAGUGCUGCGGUCUAAUGAAUAGUGGGAGAAGUUGACCAAGGAAGGUGCUCCCUAGGAGGGCUUGGCCGUGGGGGAGAGAUCAAGAAGAGGAAGGAAAAGAGGUAAGUCAAGGAGACGGUCAAAGUCUCAGAAGAGAAGGAGCAGGAAGGAAGCUAGGUGCUACAAGUGCAACCAGAUCGGGCACUUCAAAUGAGAUUGCCC